UUCUUCAUAUUCCACCCCUACUUUCAUCUUCCAUGCCCUACCUAUUGCAAAUUUACACCACAUUGUAUGCAUACUGGAACUAAAGGUUUGUGCCAAAAAUUUCGAAGUCAUUCAACUUCUUUCCCGGUAUGUAGAGUGAUAAACUCAUAGUACACGAGCCACACAUUUCUGUUUUAAAAAUUUUCCAAGAGCUUACUUCUCCACCAAGAGUAAACACAUACCCGCUCGUGAAUUUUAUUUCAUUUGACCAGAUUCACUUUGAACCCAAAUGUUUAUUUCUUGGAGGAAGAUCAACCAACUCUGAAGUGUGGUUGCUCAAAAUUGAAUCUAUCCUACUAUUGAAAACCUCUUUCCAAAAAGAAUGAGUCUAUACAUGACAAUUCUUUUUUGACAAUAUGAACUCAUUUUCAAGUAGAAAUGUUACAAAAUCAAAUCUAGAGGAAGUAAUUUGUCCAUUGACAUUUAAUACGCCUUUGAAUCUCUUUAA